UUAGUUGUCUUUCUUAUGCCAGACAAUUCUAUUGUUACUUGUUUCUCCUUUUCAUUUGCUUAAUAUGUUCGCUUUACUGUCUUCCUUUUUUCACAAUUGAGACUCUUGUAUUCUCUAUAUCUUGGUGUAGAGAAGUCCUUGAAGAUUGCAACUUGCUUAUUAGUUUCUUUUAUGACUUUUUUCCCUGCUCAGCUACCUUUCCAAAUACAAUAGAUAGUGGAGAGAGUCCUUGCUUAGCCUGGCUGUACAUUGAAAAUUACACUUCAACAGCCACCCCACCCCACUCAACCCCAACCUCGAUGAAAUCUGCUCACAAUUUGUUGGGGCACAAAGAUUGUGCUGGUCAUAAUUUAAGAUAAAAAUGGUCUUGAAAACGUAAAUGGAAUAUCGAAAUGAGUUCCUUGUCCAGCUUAGCUGCUUCAAGCAAAUUCCUGUGAUACAGCCAUGAGAAACUGAUUAAAUCUAUUGAAUUUUGUAUUGGAUGAAUUACAUAUUCUGUCUGAUGGCAUGAUCAUGUUUGCACAAGCUUGUGCAUGCAUUAUGGCUACUGUUCUGCUGGUAGGUCCUUCAUGCUGAAGCAUGGUUAUCACGCAUAAUGGGUUAUAGAUGUCUGUUUUAUGUGGUAUAGUCAUUGAUGACUGUUUGAUUAACCAAACUGUGUUGUUGGAUGUUACUUUCUCCUUAGCCUCCCGAAACAUGGGAUGGUGGUGUUGGCUUUGUAUCAAAGGAAAUGAUUCAAACCUACUGCCCUGCUCCAGCACCUGAUAUCAAGGUAGGUUUCUGAUUUUCUUACAUUCAUCAUGAGACAUCAGGGAAAGAUAAAAUAUACUCGAAAGAAAAUUACAACAAUUGCUACUAAUUGCUACUAAUUUUCCAUUAUGCAAUCCACAGAUUCUAAGGUGUGGACCACCACCUAUGAACAAGGCCAUGGCAGCUCACCUCGAAGCUCUUGGAUAUGCACCUGAGAUGCUGUUCCAGUUCUGAUCCUUGAAAACUUGUUGACCCUCUAUUUGGAUUGGUAUUCAUCACUCUCCUGGUUUCAAUAAAAAAGACUAUUGAGAA
rnacentral:lncRNA from 1 species